UACAGAGGUGGCAAGCGUUGUUCGGAAUUACUGGGCGUAAAGGGCGCGUAGGCGGCCUAACUAAGUCAGACGUGAAAUCCCCCGGCUUAACCUGGGAACUGCGUCUGAUACUGGAAGGCUUGAGGAUGGGAGAGGGAUGUAGAAUUCCAGGUGUAGCGGUGAAAUGCGUAGAUAUCUGGAGGAACACCGGUGGCGAAGGCGGCAUCCUGGACCGACACUGACGCUGAGGCGCGAAAGCUAGGGGAGCAAACGGGG
rnacentral:rRNA from 1 species